GACGAACGCUGGCGGCGUGCUUAACACAUGCAAGUCGAACGGAAAGGCCCUGCUUGCAGGGUACUCGAGUGGCGAACGGGUGAGUAACACGUGGGUGAUCUGCCUUGCACUUCGGGAUAAGCCUGGGAAACUGGGUCUAAUACCGGAUAGGACCAUGCUUUAGUGUGUGUGGUGGAAAGUUUUUCGGUGCAAGAUGAGCCCGCGGCCUAUCAGCUUGUUGGUGGGGUAAUGGCCUACCAAGGCGACGACGGGUAGCCGGCCUGAGAGGGUGUACGGCCACAUUGGGACUGAGACACGGCCCAGACUCCUACGGGAGGCAGCAGUGGGGAAUAUUGCACAAUGGGCGCAAGCCUGAUGCAGCGACGCCGCGUGGGGGAUGAAGGCCUUCGGGUUGUAAACUCCUUUCGCUAGGGAAGAAGCCACUUGUGGUGACGGUACCUGGAUAAGAAGCACCGGCUAACUAC
rnacentral:rRNA from 1 species